GUGCCAGCAGCCGCGGUAAUACAGGGGGUGCAAACGUUGCUCGGAAUUAUUGGGCGUAAAGCGCGCGUAGGCGGCCACUUAAGUCGGAUGUGAAAGCCCCUGGCUCAACUGGGGAAGUGCACCCGAAACUGAGCGGCUUGAAUGCAAAAGAGGGUCGCGGAAUUCCCGGUGUAGAGGUGAAAUUCGUAGAUAUCGGGAGGAACACCGGUGGCGAAGGCGGCGACCUGGGUUGACAUUGACGCUGAGGCGCGAAAGCGUGGGGAGCAAACAGGAUUAGAUACCCUGGUAGUCC
rnacentral:rRNA from 1 species